AGAUGCCUUGUUGGUUUUAGAGCAUGGUGCUGAUAACGCCAACGUUGCAGGUUCGAUCCCUGUAUGGACUA